GAUGAACGCUGGCGGCGUGCCUAAUACAUGCCAGUCGAGCGAACGGACGAGAAGCUUGCUUCUCUGAUGUUAGCGGCGGACGGGUGAGUAACACGUGGAUAACCUACCUAUAAGACUGGGAUAACUUCGGGAAACCGGAGCUAAUACCGGAUAAUAUUUUGAACCGCAUGGUUCAAAAGUGAAAGACGGUCUUGCUGUCACUUAUAGAUGGAUCCGCGCUGCAUUAGCUAGUUGGUAAGGUAACGGCUUACCAAGGCAACGAUGCAUAGCCGACCUGAGAGGGUGAUCGGCCACACUGGAACUGAGACACGGUCCAGACUCCUACGGGAGGCAGCAGUAGGGAAUCUUCCGCAAUGGGCGAGAGCCUGACGGAGCAACGCCGCGUGAGUGAUGAAGGUCUUCGGAUCGUAAAACUCUGUUAUUAGGGAAGAACAUAUGUGUAAGUAACUGUGCACAUCUUGACGGUACCUAAUCAGAAAGCCACGGCUAACUACGUG
rnacentral:rRNA from 1 species